GGCUGGAACCGCCUAAGACACCACCCCAGCCAGCAUGGCCGGCAGGAGCGCACCGCGCUGUCUCCCUCCAGGGAUCCGCACCGCCCUACAAUCCUGCUUUGUGCUGAGAUUGUAGUCCUGCAGGCGUACAACUAACAAGCUGGGUGCAGAUAAGAGACUACAGCUCCCCGCAUCCCAAGCAAAGGUCCCUCCUCUACGGAGCCCCUCCACGCGUCCACUGCGGUUCCGCCGUGCCAAGGGGAGCUUGGCUGUUCACGGGCCUCACCUGCUAGCGAGAAGAUAGCUUGGCCGGGCGGCUGAUCUCACCUUGUAAUUCUGACACUGUGUCUCCCGGGCUUGUCGGCUUCAUGACUUGUGCCCAAAGUUUGAUUUCUCGCAGACCAGGAGGACCCAUUGGACCCCCGGGCUGGCUGCAGGGCCCACACCUGGGUUAGACCUCGCACAGGGACGCUGCUGCCACUGUAAUAAAGCGUGCCUACACGCUUCUGAAACUGGUGUAGGAACAACCUCAGUUCUGUGAAAGGCGGACGCAGCAGGACAGAAUCUCCGUGGACAUCUGUCUGGAGGAGCAAUUUUACUGCGACAUUUUAAAGAAACAAAUUUAAUUGAUUUCCAAGGGUGUCCAUCGCGCUUCCUUCACUGCCUUGAUCAUGUCGGGGUCACCACCUGCGGGGGUUUGUCCUGCAGACCCUGACUCAACGACGGAUGAAUAAUGUACACUGACACAGAUCUUAUGCUUGUCAGUCCUGCUGAGCAUCCAGGCCACUUACAGACUCCAAGAAGAGUCCUGUCAGCCACGGCUCUGACUUGUUGGCCCUCCCGGCAUUUAUUUAGCACACAUUUAAUGACAGAAGUCUCAGGCUGGAAACACUCUUUUUGUAGAACAUACAAAUGGACAUUUCUAAGCACAUUGAGGCCUAUAAUGAAAAAUCAAAUAUCCCACAAUGAAAACUAGAAGGAAGCUAUCUGUGAUAAUGCUUUGUGGUGUAUGGAUUCAUCUCACUGACUGAAACCUGAGUUUUGAUUCACCAGGUUGGAAACACUCUUUUUGUAGAAUGUAUGAAGAGAUAUUUCUGAGGCCUGUUGUGAAAAACUGAGGUUUCCACAAGAAAAACUGGAAACAAGUUAUCUGAGAAAAUGCUUUAUGAUGGGUGAAUUCAUCUCACAAAAUUAAACCUUCGUUUUGAUUCAAAAGGUUGGAAUAACUUUUCUUUUCUUCUUCUUCUUCUUUUUUUUUUUUUUUUUUUGGACAGGGUCUUGCUCUGUCACCCAGGCUGAAAUGCAAUGGCACAAUCUCGGCUCACUGGUUCAAGCAAUUCUCCUGCGUCAGCCUCACAAGUAGCUGAGAAUACAGGUGCCAGCCACCACAACUGGCAGUUUUUUUGUAUUUUUAUAAAAGAUGGGGUUUCAGCAUGUUAACCAGGAUGGUCUCGAUUUGCUGACCUCCUGAUCUGCCUGCCUUGGCCUCCCAAAGUGUUGGUAUUACAGGUGGAAUCACUUUUUUUGUAGAAUCUGUGCAGGCACAUUUCUGAGGCCUACAGUGAAAAAUUGUAGGCCUCAUUGAGGCCUACAGUGAAAAAUUGAAUAUCCCUCAAUAAAAAUUACAAACAAGCUAUCUGUGGAAA
ensembl:lncRNA LINC00662 long intergenic non-protein coding RNA 662